GCAGGGGAUCUUCGGACCUUGCCCUAAUAGAUGAGCCUAAGUCGGAUUAGCUAGGUGGUGGGGUAAAGGCCUACCAAGGCGACGAUCUGUAGCGGGUCUGAGAGGAUGAUCCGCCACACUGGGACUGAGACACGGCCCAGACUCCUACGGGAGGCAGCAGUGGGGAAUAUUGGACAAUGGGGGGAACCCUGAUCCAGCCAUGCCGCGUGUGUGAAGAAGGCCUUAUGGUUGUAAAGCACUUUAAGCGAGGAGGAGGCUACUUUAGUUAAUACCUAGAGAUAGUGGACGUUACUCGCAGAAUAAGCACCGGCUAACUCUGUGCCAGCAGCCGCGGUAAUACAGAGGGUGCAAGCGUUAAUCGGAUUUACUGGGCGUAAAGCGCGCGUAGGCGGCUAAUUAAGUCAAAUGUGAAAUCCCCGAGCUUAACUUGGGAAUUGCAUUCGAUACUGGUUAGCUAGAGUGUGGGAGAGGAUGGUAGAAUUCCAGGUGUAGCGGUGAAAUGCGUAGAGAUCUGGAGGAAUACCGAUGGCGAAGGCAGCCAUCUGGCCUAACACUGACGCUGAGGUGCGAAAGCAUGGGGAGCAAACAGGAUUAGAUACCCUGGUAGUCCAUGCCGUAAACGAUGUCUACUAGCCGUUGGGGCCUUUGAGGCUUUAGUGGCGCAGCUAACGCGAUAAGUAGACCGCCUGGGGAGUACGGUCGCAAGACUAAAACUCAAAUGAAUUGACGGGGGCCCGCACAAGCGGUGGAGCAUGUGGUUUAAUUCGAUGCAACGCGAAGAACCUUACCUGGCCUUGACAUAGUAAGAACUUUCCAGAGAUGGAUUGGUGCCUUCGGGAACUUACAUACAGGUGCUGCAUGGCUGUCGUCAGCUCGUGUCGUGAAUGUUGGGUUAAGUCCCGCAACGAGCGCACCCCUUUUCCUUAUUUGCCAGCGAGU
rnacentral:rRNA from 1 species